rnacentral:lncRNA from 1 species
UACUGUGCCUUGCCGCCAAUAGCCUCAGCAGCGACAACGACGAGCAAGACGCCAAGUCUGCAGACGCUGACGUCGAAAGCGUGCGGGUCGAGCCGGAGCAGGGAGUCUACGUCCAGCCGAACAUCGAGCGUCCGAAAGACAUGCCCAGUGAUCAUCCGGAUAACGUUCAUGCAGCCAGCACCUACUUUCAGCUUUUCCGACUUGAUGGACGACUUGCAGUACACGGUCUGGCUCACCUUCACGGAAUCGCACACGGGUGCAUGUGCUGGCCAGUACGUCCACCCGCAAUCGCCGAGACCCGGUUCCUCGUGGAACAGCAAGGAGGUGUCGUUCGAUAAGCUGAAGCUCGUCUUCUCAGACGAUGAAUCCACCCCGAAGCCGCCACAUAACCAUGAAAAG